rnacentral:lncRNA from 1 species
AUGUCUUCCUGGAGAUUGCUCUUUGUGGAGUUUUUGUGAGCCUGCAACAUUGAGGUAAUGUUCUGGAUGUAGCUUGCUUCAGGCAUAUGUAUUGGCUGUUUGGCAUCCAUUGCUAAGGAAGAACAAGUUGGUAUUGAUGCUGAAAGGCAAUGUCCUACUCUCACCUUGCCAUGGGCAAAUUAUUCCUCAUCCUCUGCAUACCAGUUUCUUAUGCCAUACAAAGAACAAGAGCGAGGAAAUGGCUUGGUUUAAAAAACUAACCCAGAAAAGAAACAAAACAAAAACAACUAAUAAUCUUAUCCUGGAGCACCUUAUCCAUCUGAUGGAGUGGAAGCACAGAACAGCAUCAGCCACAGGCUCAGUGGCAGUGCCGGCAUCUGCUUAUCCAAAGUGAGUGUACAUCACUUGCCCUAGAGGCAGCAGAAUGCACAUCUCCCUUUCUAUUUCCUUUCCUUGGAGUCACAUCUAAAUUUUCUAAAUGAGAACUGCGUAAUUCAAAGCACGUUACUUUCUGACUCUGCAAUCCAGAAAAUGAUCAAGAAAUGUGAACUGUGUUGAGUCACUGUAGUGAUCCACUGCUUGAAACCCAACAGCACUAUUACUACUAAUAGCACACAUUAACUGUUUCAGAACUAAUCUGCAAAUUUCUAUCAAUUCUGUGUGCUAGUCAGAUAAAUGAAUAUAUAUGCACAUACAAUGUUCUUCUUGAUAACUUCUUUUGAUAUUUUUCUUGAUUAAAAAGCAUAAUAACACAAUACAUAGCCUGAGAACUACAGAAAAUUAGAUAAUUCUACCAGCAAAUUUUGAGUUAGGGUGAAGAUGAAGCAAUAGGGAAAUUGGAAGAUAUAGAUCCCUGUUAUUCUGUAAAUUUCUCUGUAGAAAAGAAAUAAUAAUUUCCUUGAAAACUAUGAUAUUCCUCUCCAUUUAAGUUCUCUCUCACCCUAUAACAAUUUCUUAAUACUACAUCUGUUAUUUACCAGUGCCUUUUCUGAACUGACAGCCUCAUUCUUCCAGACACAGUGUUCCUCCUGCAGCUUGUUUGCCUCAUGGUGAUGCAUCCCCCCAGGCCCUCUGUGAGCUCCCAUUCUCAGAUGUCCUACCCAACUUUUGUGUCUCAUUUUCUAUCUCUGAACCAACUACAGGCACUUAUGGUCUCCCCUGACUUUCUCAAGUCCCCAUGACUCUUCUACUUCUGAGCUCCUCUUUCACACCAUCCCAUUGGGGUGGAGUACUCAUAAGGUGCUCCAAGGUGAUGAUGCAAAAUGCCCAGGCCUGCCCAGGUAACCUCACAGUUUCCUUGUCUGCUCACUCCAUUGCCUUUCCUCCUUUUGAAGGUAAGGCAAGCUGAAAAGCACAGAAAAAGGUAGGAGGACACAACUGCCCUACAGAGUUAAGCUCAGCACAUGUCCUCACAUCCUGAAACACAAUCAAACCAACAGAGUAUUGCCAUGUUCUGGGCUACUCUUUCUCUCAACCUCCUGUUUUGUCAUAAGAAGUGUGACAGUGAGAUAAAAUAUAGUCAAUAAAAGUACCUCUGUAGCAAAGAUUCAGCACUUAGACCAUAAGACAAAAUGCUCUGCAGUUUCUCUCUUGGUGGAAUGCUUUAACAAAUACUGUUUUUUAAAAUUCUUUUGAAAAUGACUCAUUUGGUCUCUACACUCUAAAAUGAAAUUAUUGGGACUGCAGUCAUUUUCUUAUUCCCAUAAUAUAAAGAGGAAGUAGAGCUGUAUGUAUCCAUCAACAUUCCAGACGACCCUCGAUACCGUUGCUUCCUCUUGCAUAAAUUUCAAAAAAAGAGAAGUUUUCUGGUUACGUGAGAAAUUUAAUAGUUUAAAUUUUAUUUGUUGAACAGUCUGGAUUUCUAACCAUCCAUGAAAUCCAUUCCUUGCAGAAGGUGAGCACAAAUUUCAUAAUAUAUAGAAGUUUCUGAUAGCUGUCUCCAACUUAUAUAUUUCCAUUUAAAUAAUUUCCCAAACUCCUGUGACACUUUGCCUCAUCACUAUACUCAGUAAAGUUUGUUUUGUUUUCCAAAAGUUAAGAGGACUUAUUCAAUAUUUAUUAUCUGUUACUUAUCAACUUUUUGUCAUGUCAGCUUUUCAGUUUACUUUCCUUGCUUUUUUUUGUCACCUGUGUUAUUUUUCUAUAACCUGUCUCUCAACAAAGAGAUGCUAAAAGAAAAAUGGUAAAGAUAUUGAAAAAACACUGCAGGAAAGAAGGUGUAGUUUUGCAUGAUUCUUUUGUCUCAGCCAGCUUUUUCUAUGCUUAUUUGGGGUAAAGAUUACUGUCCUAUUUAUACCAUCUCACUCAAAUUUGUAAGAUUAUUGUUGCAGCAAAUAUUUCUCAUAUUGAAAAAAAGACAGUAUCUAGUUGCAAAUGGUUUUCAUGUCACU